AUAAAAAAAAAAUAAAAAAAAUUAAUGGUCACAUAUAUGGAAAAUGGUGGCUGGCCAUGUGCUAUUUUAGAGUGGUGUGAACCCAAUUUUAUAAAAUUCAAAUCCCAUUUAAUUAAGAAGUCAAGUGGGCAAGUGGGUAGAAAAGCACUCAAGUGUUUUGUGAUAUUUUGAAGAGUUGUGUGAGCCAUUCUAACCCCCAAAUCCGACCACUCUCCCUCCCUCAUUCACUAUCAUCUGAUUUUUGAAGACUCUCUCAAGUGUUCUCUCCAUUUUCAACCCCAAGAACACCAAAGAAACUUGGAAGCUAAGUCUUGGUCUAGGAAGGGUUUUCCCUAAGGGUUUUUGAAAGGUUUUGAAGGAGUCAAAGCUUAUAGGAAGGUCCAAACCUUAAGCAAGAACACCAAAGAGGUAAGAGCAAGGGCAAGGCAGAGCAGUGAGCACUGGAGUCUUCCUUGCAAAUGUACAUGUGGACCGACCUUUUGGGAAGCCUUUUUAUUUUUGGAAAUGUUGUGUAAUUUUCCUAAACUAGGCUCACUCUAAUCUUUAUAAAACAUGUUUGUAACUAAAUGUUAAGUAUGGCCAUACGACUUUUUAAAAAGUUUUUUUUUCUAUGGGUUUUUGAGA